rnacentral:rRNA from 1 species
UACGAAGGGGGCUAGCGUUGCUCGGAAUCACUGGGCGUAAAGCGCACGUAGGCGGAUCCUUAAGUCGGGGGUGAAAUCCUGGAGCUCAACUCCAGAACUGCCUUCGAUACUGAGGAUCUCGAGUCCGGGAGAGGUGAGUGGAACUGCGAGUGUAGAGGUGAAAUUCGUAGAUAUUCGCAAGAACACCAGUGGCGAAGGCGACUUACUGGACACAUAUUGACGCUGAGGUGCGAAAGCGUGGGGAGCAAACAGG